UGGGGAAUAUUGGACAAUGGGCGCAAGCCUGAUCCAGCCAUGCCGCGUGAGUGAUGAAGGCCCUAGGGUUGUAAAGCUCUUUCACCGGUGAAGAUAAUGACGGUAACCGGAGAAGAAGUCCCGGCUAACUUCGUGCCAGCAGCCGCGGUAAUACGAAGGGGGCUAGCGUUGUUCGGAUUUACUGGGCGUAAAGCGCACGUAGGCGGACUAUUAAGUCAGGGGUGAAAUCCCGGGGCUCAACCCCGGAACUGCCUUUGAUACUGGUAGUCUUGAGUUCGAGAGAGGUGAGUGGAAUUCCGGGUGUAGAGGUGAAAUUCGUAGAUAUUCGGAGGAACACCAGUGGCGAAGGCGGCUCAAUGGCUCGAUACUGACGCUGAGGUGCGAAAGCGUGGGGAGCAAACAGG
rnacentral:rRNA from 1 species